GGCUGGGACCUGCGCAACGGAUUCCCCGUGAACCGAGUCAGGGCCGGAAGGCAGCAGCUCUCAGCGGGAGAAUCCGUGUGCCGCAGCCAGCCUGGCCGUC
rnacentral:SRP_RNA from 1 species